AGAGUAAUAGUUUAAUAUUAAAACACCUGAUUUGCAUUCAAAUAAUAUCUUUUGGAUUUACUUUA
rnacentral:tRNA from 1 species